ACACACACACACACACACACACACACACACACACACACACACACACACACACGCAAUGCUGCCGCUGCCACCGCGGCACCUACCAGGCGGGCAGCCUCGGCCCAGGUAGCUGCAUCAUGUACGUAACAUGAACUUCUGUUACUCACGAGACCUCUGGUGUUGCAGCAGUGGUGUUGGACAGAAAAGGACAUUUGUUGGGAAAAGAAGUUCAGUGAGCCCCUAAAGCUAAUCUGGCUUUGUGGAUUUUUUGGUUGGUUUGGUUGGUUUCUAGUAUUGUCUGCUGCACUCAGGAUUAGACUUUCUUUUGGUAUUUCUGUGGACCCCUGGAAUAAUCUUUUUAGUUCUAUAUCCUUUCUAUUACAAUGGUGAAGAAACAA